CGGGACGGGUGAGUAAUGUCUGGGAAACUGCCUGAUGGAGGGGGAUAACUACUGGAAACGGUAGCUAAUACCGCAUAACGUCGCAAGACCAAAGAGGGGGACUUUCGGGCCUCUUGCCAUCGGAUGUGCCCAGAUGGGAUUAGCUAGUAGGUGGGGUAACGGCUCACCUAGGCGACGAUCCCUAGCUGGUCUGAGAGGAUGACCAGCCACACUGGAACUGAGACACGGUCCAG
rnacentral:rRNA from 1 species